rnacentral:rRNA from 1 species
UACGUAGGGAGCAAGCGUUGUUCGGAUUUACUGGGCGUAAAGGGCGCGUAGGCGGCGCGGUAAGUCACUUGUGAAAUCUGUGAGCUUAACUCAGAACGGCCAAGUGAUACUGCUGUGCUAGAGUGCGGAAGAGGCAACCGGAAUUCUUGGUGUAGCGGUGAAACGCGUAGAUAUCAAGAGGAACACCUGAGGCGAAGGCGGGUUGCUGGGCCGACACUGACGCUGAUGAGCGAAAGCCAGGGGAGCAAACGGG